rnacentral:rRNA from 1 species
AGUGAACGCUGGCGGUAGGCCUAACACAUGCAAGUCGAACGGCAGCACAGUAAGAGCUUGCUCUUACGGGUGGCGAGUGGCGGACGGGUGAGGAAUACAUCGGAAUCUACUUUUUCGUGGGGGAUAACGUAGGGAAACUUACGCUAAUACCGCAUACGACCUACGGGUGAAAGCAGGGGAUCUUCGGACCUUGCGCGAUUGAAUGAGCCGAUGUCGGAUUAGCUAGUUGGCGGGGUAAAGGCCCACCAAGGCGACGAUCCGUAGCUGGUCUGAGAGGAUGAGCCGCCCACACUGAGAAUGAGCCACGAUCAAGCCCCUAAGGGGCGGAGGAGGUGGGAAAUGUAGAACAAGGGGCGAAGCCCAAACCCACCAAUGCGGGGUGGGGAAAGAAGGCUUUGGGUUUGAAAGCCCUUUUUUUGGGAAAGAAAAAGCAGCGGGUUAAUCCCCAGUGUUUCGGACGGACCCAAAGAAAAAGCCCCCGCUAACCUGAG